ensembl:lncRNA
GACAGGGGGCACCAGAGGAGAAGUCAGGACCCUAAAGGAAACUCGGGGCUAAGUAUCUCUCAAGGGCAGUCUUCCACAAUCUACCUUUUCCCAACCACCAGGACUGCAAUUCAUUAAGAACAUUUGUGAAAUAACAGUACUAGGAAACCCCAGGAGAAACAGCUAUACUGUUCGAGGAUUUGAAGUCUCAAUGUAUCGCUCGUGUGGAUUGUACAUAGUCUUCUUAACCGGAAGACCUUUUAUCCCAGCCUAUAAUCUAAAAGACCUGAAACUUCAGUGCUGGCACUGCUGGAAGCUUUUCCAUUGAACCACAUGCUUUAAAAAAAAAAAAAAAAACUCUACAUUUUAGUUUUCAUCUCUUCAGCAGAGCAAAUUAUCCCAUCAGCCUGUGGAGAAGUGGGAGGUUAUUGUUCAUGAAACUAUGAAAGAACAUAACACCAUAAUGCAAAUGAGAAGCUUGAAGUCUCUUUCACCCAUGAAAGCUAUCCUGGCAAAUACUCAUUCUCAGAGAAAAGAGGAGGGGAAAAAAAACAAAUGCACUGUAGCCUUUAUAUAGAAAGUUUAGAGAAGAAUAUUAGGACUGUAUUUGAGGGAAACAAGAAAUAACUAUGCAACUGCACGCCUCCCUCCAUCAUCUCAAGGCCACCUUUUAAGGAGGUUUUGUUGUUAUGAAAUAGAAUGAUGUUUUCUGCCUGUCUGACCCAGAGAAGCAUAUUGGUCCACACUUCUAUAGUUUCUGCCCAGAACGUACUGCCUGAAUGCUAUACACAGUGCUGAAGGACAUUAGCUAUCCACCAUACAGACAAACUUUCGUCUCCUGCCCUGGUGUAUUCUCACUCAGCAUUUACUUUAGGUAACAGAGGCCUCCUUUCUGUAAAGGGGGAAUUGGGGAGCCAGCUAAAAGCCAAGUGCCAGGAAAGAGAGUAGAGGAAAAUCCAUUCUAGUCUCCAGGGUAACCCUUGGGUAUUCUCCCUGUUUUUCCAAGACAAUGAGCAAUUUCU